rnacentral:tRNA from 1 species
UGAUAAACGGAAAAAUAGCUUAGUGGACAUGGCAUCUGCCUGGUAAGCGGAACACUGUGGGUUCGAUUCCCAUCCUGGUCAA